GAUGAACGCUGGCGGCGUGCCUAAUACAUGCAAGUCGAGCGAACAGACGAGGAGCUUGCUCCUCUGACGUUAGCGGCGGACGGGUGAGUAACACGUGGAUAACCUACCUAUAAGACUGGGAUAACUUCGGGAAACCGGAGCUAAUACCGGAUAAUAUAUUGAACCGCAUGGUUCAAUAGUGAAAGACGGUUUUGCUGUCACUUAUAGAUGGAUCCGCGCCGCAUUAGCUAGUUGGUAAGGUAACGGCUUACCAAAGCAACGAUGCGUAGCCGACCUGAGCGGGUGAUCGGCCACCCUGGAACUGAGACACGGUCCAGACUCCUACGGGAGGCAGCAGUAGGGAAUCUUCCGCAAUGGGCGAAAGCCUAACGGAGCAACGCCGCGUGAGUGAUGAAGGUCUUCGGAUCGUAAAACUCUGUUAUUAGGGAAGAACAAAUGUGUAAGUAACUAUGCACAUCUUGACGGUACCUAAUCAGAAAGCCACGGCUAACUACGUG
rnacentral:rRNA from 1 species